rnacentral:lncRNA from 1 species
CCCCAGUACAUGACAACAAUUUCAGUGACUACAACCCUAACAUCUGCUCGUUGAUGUAAGGCGAGAUCCAUGCGGUCAAAGAAGAUAUCUCUUCUUGAUACUUUGGACACCAGAAGGAGGAAUUUGGUCAUAGGUGGUUGUCGCCUUUUCUAUUUCCAUUUCAGCUUAUUUUUUCAUUUUUAUUUCUUUUAACAAAGGUAAAAAACCUUUGUCCCUUGAAGACUAAAGUAGUUUCAUUAAUACCAAUUUUUAUGGCAAGAAAAGUUAGUGUUGAUGGCUUCCCUUGUUCUAUGUAGCAUUUUGAUAAGUGUCGCAAUAUGACUAUUCUAGUAGGAACCCAGAUCAGAUGCCUUCUUCCUCUUUGUUUUCUUUCUCAUGCACUCAGAUCCAGGUUGAAUAACAUAUUCUCUAAUGGAUAGUGUGAGGUCCCUCCCCCUUGGAGUAUGGUGAAUGGAUUUAGAGAAAAAGCAUAUGCUAGGGUUAGGGCUCGAGGUUUUGGGUGCCCAAAUCGAAGAUAGUUGUCAACCACCGCCAAUCAAGUGGUGGAAUACAUGUGGUAAGGCAAGCUGGUGGCUUAGUUACUCAAGGGAUUGGAGGUGGUGGUGCGGGCAAGAUUUUGAAGGUGACGUUGCAGUCAACCACAAGCGGUGACAGAUGAAAGACAAUAUAUAGGAUGUAGGUGGGAGCAAGAGGUUUACUUAGUGGAUGCAGCUAAGGUCGUAGGAGCAAGGAUGAUGUGCCAUGGCGGUGAGGUCAUUACUAGUCACGAGAUGUGGUGGAGGCCGGCAAGGUCACAUAGAGUGCUUUGUCCUGUAUCUUUCAGAAAUCAGGUGUCAAUUUACUUUAGGUUAUGUUAAGUAAAUGGCAGUGGUGGGUGGCUU